rnacentral:tRNA from 1 species
UGGCGGGAUCGUCUAAGGGUAGGAUCAUGGACUCUCAAUCCGUAGAUUUCCGUUCAAAUCGGAAUCCCGCAACCA